rnacentral:rRNA from 1 species
AUUGAACGCUGGCGGCAGGCUUAACACAUGCAAGUCGAGCGGAGAGAAGUAGCUUGCUACUGAUCUUAGCGGCGGACGGGUGAGUAAUGCUUAGGAAUCUGCCUAUUAGUGGGGGACAACAUUUCGAAAGGAAUGCUAAUACCGCAUACGUCCUACGGGAGAAAGCAGGGGAUCUUCGGACCUCGCGCUAAUAGAUGAGCCUAAGUCGGAUUAGCUAGUUGGUGGGGUAAAGGCCUACCAAGGCGACGAUCUGUAGCGGGUCUGAGAGGAUGAUCCGCCACACUGGGACUGAGACACGGCCCAGACUCCGACGGGAGGCAGCAGUGGGGAAUAUUGGACAAUGGGCGGAAGCCUGAUCCAGCCAUGCCGCGUGUGUGAAGAAGGCCUUAUGGUUGUAAAGCACUUUAAGCGAGGAGGAGGCUACUUUAGUUAAUACCUAGAGAUAGUGGACGUUACUCGCAGAAUAAGCACCGGCUAACUCUGUGCCAGCAGCCGCCGUAAGAC